AAGGCUUUAGCUUAAUUAAAGUGUCUGAGUUGCAUUUAGAAGAUACAGGAUAAGGUCUUGUAAGUCUUA
rnacentral:tRNA from 1 species